rnacentral:lncRNA from 1 species
CCCCAUUAAAGAGUUCAAAUCGAGUCCUAAUCAAAAUCAGAGUCUUAACGGGACUCACAAAAUUCUUCUGACCGCUUGAUCACCCUCUGCACGCAUCCACAGCCAUCUGAUCGUGCCCGCAUGCCUUCCUGGCUGUCUAAUCGUGCAAAUCCGUAGGUAAACCACGAUAAAGACCACUCAUCAUGCAUGGACUGUGGUAGACUCACGUGUUGAGGCCACGCAC